rnacentral:lncRNA from 1 species
GUUUGCCGGGUCUAACUCGGAGCCCUCUCCUCUUGUUUCAGCAGGAGGCACCUCGGCGCUCUGAAGGAUGCUCCUCCAGAUCCUGGAACAUCGGGGCCUCCUCUGUGAACUUGAGAUGCACUGGAUUUGGGACCAGAACAAACUAGAAUCCUGGUCAGAGGAUGCCAGAAUGAGCCUCUAGGUUUCCAGCUCACCUUCCCCACAACGGGAUCACCCGGGACCUCAGCCGCUCCACCUGGUUAUUGUACAGGUCGCAGAAAAGUGGACCCCUCUGGGUGCACACAACUGUAAGGGUGCUUACCUUAGCAAGUGGACCAUGCCCUUUGCAGAGAAGUCUCUCCUUCCUCUGAGCAGAUGCACAGAGCUCCUUGAAUGGAGGACGGGAUGGAU